AACUAUAUCUUCUUAACUACUAAAAUUGAAACGAUACAGAGAAGAUUAGCAUGGCUCCUGUGCAAGGAUGACACGCAAAUUCGUGAAGCGUUCCAUAAUUAA